UAAAAAAUUAGUUAAAUAUAUAACAUUAGUAUGUCAAACUAAAAUUAUUAAUAAAUUUAAUAUUUUUUAA
rnacentral:tRNA from 1 species